rnacentral:lncRNA from 1 species
CCCCCCCCCACCCCACACUGUGUCCUGUCUGGUGCCACACUUUGAGAUUCUGCCAGGCUGGGAAGAACAUUCCUUCUCACCCGAUCCAGGCUGCCAGACAACGGCCGGCCCUCAGACACGAGUCUGACCAUUGCAAACAGGAUGGGGCAGAGGGUACAGCUGCUGAGUAAUGGUGGCUUUGGUUGGAGCCUGUGGUUUUCUGGAUUUAUCUGUGGCCGAAGCCCUGCUGAUUUCAUUCACAGCUUUUCAUUCACCACUUCAGAUGCAGGAAAUGAAGACACGGAGAGAUGAACCUCUUGACCAGAGACGAUCUAAAACGAAAACAAACACAAACAGAGAGCCCUGGCUUGGAGCUCAGGUAGCCUGAUCCUCCUCCAACAGAUGCUCUUAGAGGAGUUUAGAUGCACCAGAAGAGAAGUUUCUGGUCUCCAGGGCUGCCUCCUCCGCCCCAUACGCCCCGGGGCCGCGCCUGCGUUGGCGGGCGGGCGGGAGACCCAGGUGCGGAGGCCCCAGAGGCGUGCACGUGGUCGGCGGGCGCGGAGGCGCUUCCCGGCGUCCCGGAGGGCGCCCGGCUGAUGCAAGGGGAAGGCUGUCCGGACAGCUGA